GUGCAGGCGCCACGAUUUCCACCAUUCGUGUCGUGUAUCGCGUAUUGCAUGUUGACUUCAUAUGGGCGAUUUCAACAAGAAAUGGGAGCCCUCAACGGAACAGGUUGUUAUUCAUUAGAAGGGAGGAUUAAUUGAGACAUAAUGUAAUUGGUGUAGCCUGGUAAAUACAUAAACGAAAUACUAGAUGGAGCGAGCGCUACCUCUUCUCAUACUGGCAUCCAUUGCCGUCUUCCUCUUCGUCUUCAUAACACGCUGGUUCUGCUACCACGCUGUGCUCAUCGACGGAGUCAACCUACUAGUCCCCGGAGUAGAUCGCGGCGGAGUUGGGAGUUGGCCGGUGGAGGAGAGGUUUGAAGGUGGAGGAGAUGAAUGUGAUUUCUUUGAUGGGGAGUGGAUUUGGGACGAAAGCUACCCGCUUUAUCAGUCCAAAGACUGCCCCUUUCUGGACGAGGGUUUCCGCUGCACCGAGAACGGCAGGCCCGACAGAUUCUAUACCAAAUGGCGAUGGAAGCCUAAACGCUGCACUCUCCCAAGUUUUGAUGCGAAGAAGAUGCUCGAGAGGAUAAGGAAUAGGAGGGUAGUUUUUGCAGGGGAUUCCAUUGGGAGGAACCAAUGGGAGUCUCUCUUCUGCAUGUUGUAUUCGGCCAUAGUUGACAGGGGCUCAAUCUAUGAAGUUAAUGGAAGCCCGAUUAGUAAACAUAAAGGAUUCUUGGUGUUCAAGUUUAAGGACUAUAACUGUACUUUGGAGUACUACAGGUCUCCUUUCUUGGUUCGAUAUGGGAGGCCCCCACGAGGUGUGUCAAAACAGAUAAAGAGCACUGUAAAACUGGAUGCUAUGGACCAAUACUCCUCCAGAUGGAGGGAUGCAGAUGUGCUGGUUUUGAAUGCUGGCCACUGGUGGAAUCAUGAGAAGACUCUCGGAGGGGGGCGUUUUUUUCAAGAAGGAUCGGAGGUGAAGAAGUAUAUGAGUGUGGAAACUGCAUAUCUGAGAUCAAUGAACACGGUGUUUAAAUGGGUCCAGAAAGAAGUUAAUACAACCAAGACUCAUGUCUUCUUCCGCACAUAUUCUCCUGUCCACUUCAGAAAUGGUGACUGGAAAAGUGGAGGAAAAUGCCAUCAAGAAAUACUCCCUGAAUCCAACCAUUCUCAACUGUCAUCCAACUCAUGGUUUCCUUUCCUCGAACCUUUCACAAGCUCAUCCUCAGACAGUUCUUCUGCUUCCUCACUUUCAGUUUUGGAGCUCUUAAACAUAACUUACAUGACAGCAUUAAGGAAGGAUGGCCAUCAAUCACUGUAUCACCUCAGCCCUGCAAGCGUCACAACUGAUAGCAGAGAGGACUGCAGCCACUGGUGUUUGCCCGGAGUUCCUGAUGCGUGGAAUGAAAUUUUGUACGCAAUGUUUCUCAGAAGAGUGUCUUCGAUCCGUCAAAGUCCAUUACCUUCAUCGACACAGUGAAUAUGAGGUCUGAAUACUGAAUCAUAUUACCAAGAUUCUCAACUUUCAUCCAACUUUUAAUUCAGAUUCAGUUUGAUAACUGUUUAAGAGGAUAGUUGCUACAGUUAUUGAAAUUGUUUAACUAGUAAGGAAGCUAGUUGCCGAUUGCCUAUUUCAAGUCAUCCAAUCAAUGAGAAUGCUGUCACAGUGUGAAAAGAAAAGAAAAAAAAAAUCGAGGGCAAGGAUAUUGAUGUAGAGAAAAAUAGUGUUUUUUGAUUGAGAAAGAAGAGAUCCAUACAGAUAUUCAAAGGAUCGAAGACGCAUUGCGGAGCCAAAACAAAAAGCGGGCAAGAAUGUUGAUAUGACAUAAUUACGCCACUCUGUGGCGUAAUUACAUCGCCCGUGUUAUUAGCUCGGCGUAAUUAUGCCAAGCCUUAGCAUAGUUACGCCCGACCAGCGGCGUAAUUAUGUCAAGAAUAGGCAUAGCUACACACGACUCGACAGGCUUAAUUUGGUUUAUUUUUUAUUUUUUUCCCAUGGCGAAAUUGACAAGAGAUAUAUAAGAAGAUGCUUUAGGACACCCUAGAGGUGGUGUGUAGACAUUGGAGGCAUCUUUCGGCAAGUUUUAGGGUUUCUAUGUCAAACCUUUCAUUGGGUUUUACUUUUAAGUUUUGAGAGUUUUUGUGUGUGAGAGAGAUUGAAUGUUGUUGUGUGAGAGCGAUUGUGGAGUUUCUUAUUGUAUGGUGAUGACUUGGUGUAUUACGAAGACAACUUGGUUUGAUUUUAAGUUUGCACUUGUUUCUAUAAUUUUUCAAUGAUAUUUUUCUUAUUUUUCUCCCUCAUGACUCAUAGUUAAAACUGCUUUCAUGCUCCUUUAAUGUAAGGAUAAUUUUUUCUCCUUGUUCUUACUAUGAGUUUUCCCGUCAAUGUUUUCUAUGUUUU